CAACUCUUAGCGGUGGAUCAC
rnacentral:ncRNA from 3 species